rnacentral:rRNA from 1 species
UACAGAGGGUGCAAGCGUUAAUCGGAAUUAUUGGGCGUAAAGCGUGCGUAGGUGGUUUUAAUAAGUUUUGAUGUGAAAGCCCUGGGCUUAACCUGGGAAUGGCGUUGAAGACUGUUAGGCUUGAGUCGGAGAGAGGGCAGUGGAAUUUCUGGUGUAGCGGUGAAAUGCGUAGAGAUCAGAAAGAACAUCGGUGGCGAAGGCGGCUGCCUGGCUCCAGACUGACACUGAGGCACGAAAAGCGUGGGGGAGCAAACAGG